rnacentral:lncRNA from 1 species
AAUGUGUGAGCCACCAAGGUCCCCACUGCUGCCAAGUGGGUGACUAAGUCAGCCCUGGGUGGGAAAAAGAAUGUGCAUUUAGAAUGGUGCAAGUUUCCUAACAAAGAGAAGUUCGCCUCCAAAGACCCAACGCUCCCCACAGCCUCGCCCCUUAACAAGAGGCGGUUUACUGACCACCGUCUUGAGUACUUUCCCUGCCCUGGGGCUCACUGGAUUUUCACAACAGCCCUGAGUAGGAGAUGUUUUAAUUCCCAUUUUACAGAUGGGGAAACUGAGGACCAGAAAGGCUCAGAACUGCACACCCACCACAGUCAGUCAGUAGCAAAGUCAGGUUUAUAAUCCAUAGCCCUUUGCCUUCAAGGGGACUAACUAUUAUCCUGCCCUUUCUAUUUAUUUUUAAAAUAGCACAGUUUUUUGUGUUUUGUUUGUUUGUUUUUACCAUACCGGAUCUUAGUUGUGCAACGUGGGAUCUAGCUCCUGCACCAGAGAUUGAACUCCAACCCCCUGCACUCAGAGAGCGGAGUCUUAGCCACUGGACCAGCAGAGAACUCCUUGUCCUUUAUUUUUAAGAGAAUGGAAAAGGACACACAGAGGCUGGUGGACUUGCUUCAAGCUUCUUUAGUUCUACUUGCUUCCCAAGAAGAGGAAGGACUUUGUCACAGGCCCUUCUCUAGGAUCUGGGGAAACUUUAGAGACCCGACUGAGGUGAAGACAGGAGCCCUCUUCAAGGCUUUAGAGAUGUGGGCCUUCUACAUCCCCAGGACAUGCUGGGGAUGAGGCAGAGUCCAGCCAGCAGCUGUGAAUCAGGACAAGGUGGAGGAAGUGAUCCCAACAUCAUUUGGUGAAUGGACACUGGACAUUGAUACAUUAGGUCAUUCAUUCAACAUGGCUUUGGUUUUUUAUAUAUUUAAAAACAUGGGGACGUCCCUGGUGGUCCAGUGGCUAAGACUCCAUGCUCCCAUUGCAUGGGGCCCAGGUUCAACCUCUGGACAGGGAACCAGAUCCCAUAUGAUGUAACUAAGAGUUCACAUGCUGCAAUGAAAGAUCCCGCAUGCUGCCAGGAGGAUCAAAGAUCCCACGUGCCACAACUAAGACCUGGCACAGCUAAAUAAACAGAUGUUAAAAACAAAAAUCCCCUAGAAA